GACGAACGCUGGCGGCGUGCUAACACAUGCAAGUCGAACGGAAAGGCCUGCAGCUUGCUGCGGGUACUCGAGUGGCGAACGGGUGAGUAACACGUGGGUGAUCUGCCUUGCACUUCGGGAUAAGCUUGGGAAACUGGGUCUAAUACCGGAUAGGACAGCUGUUUAGUGUCAGUUGUGGAAAGUUUUUUCGGUGCAAGAUGAGCUCGCGGCCUAUCAGCUUGUUGGUGGGGUAAUGGCCUACCAAGGCGUCGACGGGUAGCCGGCCUGAGAGGGUGUACGGCCACAUUGGGACUGAGAUACGGCCCAGACUCCUACGGGAGGCAGCAGUGGGGAAUAUUGCACAAUGGGCGGAAGCCUGAUGCAGCGACGCCGCGUGGGGGAUGAAGGCCUUCGGGUUGUAAACUCCUUUCGACAGGGACGAAGCGUAAGUGACGGUACCUGUAUAAGAAGCACCGGCUAACUACGUGCCAGCAGCCGCGGUAAUACGUAGGGUGCGAGCGUUGUCCGGAAUUACUGGGCGUAAAGAGCUCGUAGGUGGUUUGUCGCGUCGUCUGUGAAAUUCCGGGGCUUAACUCCGGGCGUGCAGGCGAUACGGGCUGACUUGAGUGCUGUAGGGGAGACUGGAAUUCCUGGUGUAGCGGUGAAAUGCGCAGAUAUCAGGAGGAACACCGAUGGCGAAGGCAGGUCUCUGGGCAGUAACUGACGCUGAGGAGCGAAAGCAUGGGUAGCGAACAGGAUUAGAUACCCUGGUAGUCCAUGCCGUAAACGGUGGGCGCUAGGUGUAGGGGGCUUCCACGUCUUCUGUGCCGUAGCUAACGCAUUAAGCGCCCCGCCUGGGGAGUACGGCCGCAAGGCUA
rnacentral:rRNA from 1 species